UGAGACUUGUCGAUCAGCUGCAUUUAAUUAAUCGAUUAAAACUUCAUGAUGAACCGCGAGGCAUAUUCCAGCCGUGUGCUUGCUAGAUCCGGAAGUGUCUCAAUUGCAUUUAAAUGCCCUUUCUUAACCUUUGUAUUGCAUUAGUGGUACGUUGAGCAGACAGCAAAUUGCAUGACCUUUUGAAAUCAUAUAUGCCGGAGCUUGUUUACGAACUUUGUGCAUGUGCCAGCAUGGCCAAUACUUGCUAACUUUUUGAAGGAAAAAUUGAAUAUUUACUGUUAAGGGUUUCAAGAAUAUACGGUAACAAAAGAUCUCCGAUCCGCUUAUGCAUGGUGCCACAUUUUAUGUGGCAUCUGCCGCAUUUUAUCGCCUGCCAGUUGCCAAAGCCUCCAGGCUUUAUCGCUUGCCAUGCCAUUGGCAGUGCCACUGGCAGGGGCCACUGCCACGUUUUACCCCCUGCCGUUAUCCGGUCCGGAUACUCGACGGAUAAAGUGUCACUGAAUGUUACAUUAACAGCCACGUAAUCUGCGAUAAGGAUUAAAACACCCGACGCCCGGAGAGUCCCACUGGUCAGAAAUUAGAUCCUUGUGGGCACAGCAUCCACAUCCUUACCUUGAUGAAACAUCAACAAUACUGUUGAGGUUCUCCUGUGGGUACCCUCGAGCCAGCAUUCUGAACGUGAUUGAAUAUCCACUAUGGUUCAUUACACCAUUUUCUUUUAAAUGAAAUUUACUUGCGUCUAGCUCAGCGCUAAAGAUAUCAUUGGGCUUUUUUUCCAGAGUAAAGAGUUUAUCUGCCGCCUCAAAGAGCGUCGCGUCCGCGGGUUGGGCACACCGACAACUCGCUGACGGUCAUCUUGCUGACCGACAACUUGAUGACGACUAUUUGCUGACCGACAAAAUGUUGACCCGACAGUUUGUUGAAACAACAAAUCGCUGAACGACAUUUUGCUGAACGAAAGUUUGCUGACACCGACAAUUUGCUGACGACAUUUUGUUGACUGACAGA